rnacentral:rRNA from 1 species
AAUGGGCGAAAGCCUGACGGAGCAACGCCGCGUGAGGGAGGAAGGCCUGUGGGUUGUAAACCUCUUUUCUCAGGGAAGAAGUUCUGACGGUACCUGAGGAAUCAGCAUCGGCUAACUCCGUGCCAGCAGCCGCGGUAAGACGGAGGAUGCAAGCGUUAUCCGGAAUUAUUGGGCGUAAAGCGUCCGUAGGUGGUUUUKAAAGUCUGUUGUUAAAUCCCACAGCUCAACUGUGGAUCGGCAAUGGAAACUGCUAGACUUGAGUGUGGUAGGGGUAGAGGGAAUUCCCAGUGUAGCGGUGAAAUGCGUAGAUAUUAGGAAGAACACCAGUGGCGAAGGCGCUCUACUGGGCCAUAACUGACACUGAUGGACGAAAGCUAGGGGAGCGAAAGGGAUUAGAUACCCC